ensembl:misc_RNA 7SK 7SK RNA
GGAUGUGAGGGUGAUCUGGCAGCGACAUCUGUCACUCCCACUGAUUGCCACAGUUAAUUUGGCUGAUCUGGCUGGCUAGGAAGGUGUCCCCUUCCUCCCUUACCACUCCACGUGCAUCAUUCCUAAAGCUGCAGGCUCGGUUGAAGAGGACAACCUUCCUGGAAAGAAGAGUACCACUUUGGGCAAGGGUAUAUGAAUAGUUGCGCUCCCCUGCUAGAACCUCCAAACAAGCUCUGAAAAUCAAGUUGAAGAGUAUACAAAGUAUAUUUCAGUUUAAUGAUCUUUGAAAUUACCUGAGGCAAAGUCUAGCAGU